GGAAUGUGGUGCAACUCAGCUUGAGAACAGGUUCCCAAAGAGGGGGCCAGCUUCCUGAGACAGAGAUUCUCAAGAGGAAGAAUGAAACUGUAAUGUUACCUGGGAAGACUGCCUUUCACUCCAUUGGAUGAUGGGAGCCCAUGAGAAUGAGUGUGGCAAAGGCAACACUGCUAAGUCAAUGAGGAAGAGCGUUUGAGGGAUAUGGAAGAGAAAGUCUGAAGACCGAGACAGAAAUGAACUUGAUAUGAUUCAGGAUCACCAUGGCCCUGCCUGGCUUCAGUGGCUACAGUGCCCAGCACGGACGGCUGUAAAGACGAAGGAACGAUAAAGAACCUGGUGCCUGUUAUACCCCCACGAGUUGACUAUAGAAACCUGAGGGUGAUUGUACUUCCGGCUUAGCUUCUCUCACUCCUCAUCCCGGGAUCACGAUAGGGUCCCGAACUCAGAAGUAUCUCCCAGGAGCAGACGGGAAUAAAUACAAAGCAUCUCUUGCUGCGGAAUUCAACACAAUAAACAAAUGCUGAG